AAAAAAUAUUUAAAUUAUUCCUUAAGAGGUUUGCUGAUAUUUUCAAUGGAUUCUUGUUCACAGUGAUCCUGACUAUCACUGUAUAACAUAUCAAAACAUUUUACAGUAUGGUUUUAUAAUAAAUUCAAUUCAAAGUCCCUCCCACUCUCAAAGUGCAUACUGGCGAAUGGAUAAUUUCCUCAAUUUCAAAAAAAUAUUUAAAUUAUUCCUUAAGAGGUUUGCUGAUAUUUUCAAUGUAUUCUUGUUCACAGUGAUCCUGAAUAUCACCGUAUAACAUAUCAAAACAUUUUACUGUAUGGUUUUAUAAUAAAUUCAAUUCAAAGUCCCUCCCACUCUCAAAGUGCAUACUGG
ensembl:lncRNA